rnacentral:rRNA from 1 species
AUUGAACGCUGGCGGCAGGCUUAACACAUGCAAGUCGAACGAGUGGCGGACGGGUGAGUAAUGUCUGGGAAACUGCCUGAUGGAGGGGGAUAACUACUGGAAACGGUAGCUAAUACCGCAUACCAUCAGAUGUGCCCAGAUGGGAUUAGCUUGUUGGUGGGGUAACGGCUAACCAAGGCGACGAUCCCUAGCUGGUCUGAGAGGAGGACAAGCCAAACUGGAACUGAGACACGGUCCAGACUCUUACGGGAGGCAGAAGUGGGGAAUAUUGAACAAUGGGCGCAAGCCUGAGGCAGACAUGCGGCGUGGAUGAAGAAGGCCUGCGGGUUGUAAAGUACUUUCAGCGGGGAGGCGGUACCCGCAGAAGAAGCACCGGCUAACUACGUGCCAGCAGCCGCGGUAAUUC